GACAGAGGUGCCGAGCGUUAGGCGGAAUCACUGGGCUUAAAGCGUGUGUAGGCGGGUCGUUAAGUGUCUUGUGAAAUCCCACCGCUCAACGGUGGAACUGCUGGGCAUACUGGCGAUCUUGAGCCACCUAGGGGCAGACGGAACAAGCGGUGGAGCGGUGAAAUGCGUAGAUAUCGCUUGGAACGCCGAAGGUGAAAACAGGCUGCUGGGGUUGCGCCGACGCUGAGACACGAAAGCCAGGGGAGCAAACGGG
rnacentral:rRNA from 1 species